GUGAGUCUGAUGCGACUGACAGUGAACCACUGACUGUGAUCCAGCAGCCAGAAGUUACACCCCCUCAGCCUGUGGCAAACCAAGCAAUGAAAGCCAAACUGGCUCGCCUGUCCCUCUCCCUCUCCCUCCCUCCUCUCCCUCUUGCUCUCCCUCUCUCCUCCAGUCCCAAGGGAGGGUUCAGGGAGGGCGGGCUACACAGAGACAGGAGUGGGAGACGGAGGGGUGCGUCCCCAGGAAGUGACCCCGAUGAGGAUGAGGAAGAAGAACAGGAAGACGAAGGCUCCAGGAGGGUGAUUGUUGUCACUGAAACAGAUGUUGGCAAAAGGGUGGGGCUCAGGAGUCUGUUGAAGUCGCCAAGGGAACCGAUAGACAAAGAAAAAGACAGAGGGAGAAACGUGUCCUUUUUUGAUGAUGUCACUGUCUAUCUCUUUGAUCAGGAAACUCCAACCAGUGAGCUGAGUGGUUCCACCUGCACCAGUCCAGCCAGCUCCAGCUCCUAACAAAAGCACUAAAUUUGAUUUACAUGGAGCAAACAGCAAAGGCAAAGACUCCAAAAGAAAAGGGGACUUGUCAGUCAAACCGAGGUCGCCCGUGGGGGCCAACCCAGUGACAUCCUCGCGUUUUACCGUCAGCCCAGCCGAUGACCCCCACUUGGUGUGAGGCAGGGUUCCAGAAUCCUCUGAGUUGUUCUGUAACCCUCAGAACAGGAACCUUCUGAGAGUGGCCAGUGGAUUCCCCUCCAACCAUAACCAUUCUCAGAGGCUAUUUUUUUAUGGAUCAGGCAACGGAAAGAAAAGACCCCCGUUCUAAAAGCUGGACACAUUCCAGGUUUAACCAGCUACCAGUCCUUGUACGAGAAAGGUUGUUGAUAUAAUAACUCUUCCCUUUGCCACUGUAACCUAGGGUCGAUUUAUAGACACUGGCUGGAAGUGGUUGAUGGCAAAGGCAGUUUGUCCUCGGCGAAGAACAGUCUGGAGCUUUGUCAAAUCUGAAACGGAUUGACGGCUAUGCAAUGGGAGUCAUUGUGUACCAGCUUACCUUCUCUUUACCUGCUUCUUUCGGUUGUCUUUACCCAGUAUGUACUGGGGGAUGCACUUUCUUUUAGUCAUGUAUCUGUCUAUGUGGAAGCUUGGAUUGAAAUCUUAACUUUGUAAAAACGAUUUUCAUUGCAGUCAGUCAUACUUGUAGGCAGCAGUUGGGGCCAGAAAACAAUCUUAACUCCUGUAUUUAAGAGUACUCAUUCAACAUUUUGUAUAAAGAUAGUGUAUACAAUAUAAUUUUAGAGCUGUUUAAUUUAGAUGUAUUCUUAGACUGCACGAAAAGAUGAAAACAAGCUAUGUUUCUAUAUACUUUUAUUCUAAAAGACUAUGUGUAGCUAUUAUUUAUUUAAUUUAGUCAUUAUUUAUUAAAACAAUAUUUCCAUGCUUUGUAAAUAUUGUUUAUUUAUUUUGGUGCAAUUAAUUUAUCUCUCAGAAUUGUUUGGGACAAAAUGCAUCUAAGUAAUAGUUUCUUGAUUGAAUUAUUCUUCAUAACAAAUAAAGCAAGAUAUUUUCCCCAACCCCCAAAAUUAUUUAGUAUAAUUUCAUGUCUUUAUAACUGCCAUCCUGUGCUUAACUUAUGUCCUCAACUUGUAGGGUUUCCCAAACUGGGUCCUGGGGCCCCCACGGGUGCAUGUUUUAGUUUUGUCCCAGCACUACACAGCUGAUUCGAAUAACCAACUCAUCAUCAAGCUUUGAUUAUUUUAAUCAUCUGUGUAGUGCUGGGAAAAGGGGGGGCAGGACUGGGUUCGGAAAACCUUGCUCUAAUAUAUAUAUAACAUGUUUCAUUAUUUUCUAAUAUGAUUCAAUGUAUCGUUGUCUUGUCAUAAUUUGACUUUGUUUGAGGACAAUGAUAGCAUGAUAAAACGGAAGCUUCUCAUCGGUAAAUAUCUCCAAAAGUUCAUGUAUUUGUUGAUUUACAUUCAUUUUUUACUAAUAGCAACCCAUCAUGCAGUCAAGCUCCAACUAGUCCCUUUGUUUAGUCUGUUUCAACAUCUGUUUAAAACCUGUAUUGUUUAAAGAAUGUGUUUCAUGGGAUGCUGUAUGAAACCAGGGGAAAUGAAAACAACAUAAAAACUGUGAAACAUUUAUUGAACUGUUUGAUGAAAAUAAAUUGUACUGUCUUAUAUUCUUAAA